rnacentral:rRNA from 1 species
CAGGUCUUGACAUCCUCUGAAAACCCUAGAGAUAGGGCUUCUCCUUCGGGAGCAGAGUGACAGGUGGUGCAUGGUUGUCGUCAGCUCGUGUCGUGAGAUGUUGGGUUAAGUCCCGCAACGAGCGCAACCCUUGAUCUUAGUUGCCAUCAUUAAGUUGGGCACUCUAAGGUGACUGCCGGUGACAAACCGGAGGAAGGUGGGGAUGACGUCAAAUCAUCAUGCCCCUUAUGACCUGGGCUACACACGUGCUACAAUGGACGGUACAAAGAGCUGCAAGACCGCGAGGUGGAGCUAAUCUCAUAAAACCGUUCUCAGUUCGGAUUGUAGGCUGCAACUCGCCUACAUGAAGCUGGAAUCGCUAGUAAUCGCGGAUCAGCAUGCCGCGGUGAAUACGUUCCCGGGCCUUGUACACACCGCCCGUCACACCACGAGA